CAGCCGCCGCGGGAAUACGAAGGGUGCAAGCGUUAAUCGGAAUUACUGGGCGUAAAGCGUGCGUAGGCGGUUUGUUAAGUCUGUUGUGAAAUCCCCGGGCUCAACCUGGGAAUGGCAAUGGAUACUGGCAAGCUAGAGUGUGUCAGAGGAUGGUGGAAUUCCCGGUGUAGCGGUGAAAUGCGCAGAGAUCGAGAGGAACAUCAGUGGCGAAGGCGGCCAUCUGGGACAACACUGACGCUGAGGCACGAAAGCGUGGGGAGCAAACAGGAUUAGAUACCCCGGUAGUCCCUGUCUCUUAUAC
rnacentral:rRNA from 1 species